rnacentral:rRNA from 1 species
CUACGUGCCAGCAGCCGCGGUAAUACGUAGGUCCCGAGCGUUAUCCGGAUUUAUUGGGCGUAAAGCGAGCGCAGGCGGUUAGAUAAGUCUGAAGUUAAAGGCUGUGGCUUAACCAUAGUACGCUUUGGAAACUGUUUAACUUGAGUGCAAGAGGGGAGAGUGGAAUUCCAUGUGUAGCGGUGAAAUGCGUAGAUAUAUGGAGGAACACCGGUGGCGAAAGCGGCUCUCUGGCUUGUAACUGACGCUGAGGCUCGAAAGCGUGGGGAGCAAACAGGAUUAGAUACCCUGGUAGUCCACGCCGUAAACGAUGAUUACUAGGUGUUGGGGGUCGAACCUCAGCGCCCAAGCUAACGCGAUAAGUAAUCCGCCUGGGGAGUACGGCCGCAAGGUUAAAACUCAAAUGAAUUGACGGGGGCCCGCACAAGCGGUGGAGCAUGUGGUUUAAUUCGAUGCAACGCGAAGAACCUUACCUACUCUUGAC